rnacentral:rRNA from 1 species
CGCCUCCUGCAAAAAUCAAUGUAUAAGAGGUCCUACCUGCCCAGUGACUUAGUUAAACGGCCGCGGUAUUUUGACCGUGCAAAGGUAGCGCAAUCACUUGUCUUUUAAAUAAAGACCUGUAUGAAUGGUGAAACGAGGGCUUAACUGUCUCCCCUCUCUAAUCAGUGAAAUUGAUCUACCCGUGCAGAAGCGGGUAUAAGUAUACAAGACGAGAAGACCCUAUGGAGCUUUAGACAUAAGGUCACCUAUGUUAAAACCCCCAAAUAAAAGGAACAAAACAAAAUAGCAACUGACCAACGUCUUCGGUUGGGGCGACCACGGGGAAAAAUAAAUCCCCCACGUGGACUGGGAUAUUUUCCUAAAACCACGAGGCACACCUCUAAGUCACAGAAUUUCUGACCAAGGGAUCCGGCCUUUGGCCGAUCAACGAACCAAGUUACCCUAGGGAUAACAGCGCAAUCCCCUUUGAGAGUCCAUAUCGACAAGGGGGUUUACGACCUCGAUGUUGGAUCAGGACAUCCUAAUGGUGCAGCCGCUAUUAAGGGUUCGUUUGUUCAACGAUUAAAGUCCU